AUGGAGCUCAACGUUCAGCUUCGUGCCACCGAUGGUGACCCUCUUCCUAAUCCCACUCGCUAUCAUCACCUUGUUGGCAGUCUUCUCUAUCUUGCUAUUACGCGUCCUGACAUAUCCUAUCCUGUCCACAUCCUGAGUCAGUUUGUUUCAGCCCCCACCUCUGUCCACUAUAGUCAUCUCCUCCAUGUUCUACGAUAUCUUCGUGGCACGAUCUCUCAGCUCCUUUUCUUUCCCCGCUCCAGCUCUCUUGAGCUCCAGGCCUACUCUGAUGCUACCUGA
rnacentral:rRNA from 1 species